rnacentral:rRNA from 1 species
GGCCCGAUAUCUGAUUUAGCUAGUUGGUAGGGUAAAAGCCUACCAGGGCAUCGAUCAGUAGCUGGUCUGAGAGGACGACCAGCCACACUGGAACUGAGACACGGUCCAGACUCCUACGGGAGGCAGCAGUGGGGAAUUUUGGACAAUGGGCGCAAGCCUGAUCCAGCAAUGCCGCGUGAGUGAAGAAGGCCUUCGGGUUGUAAAGCUCUUUUGUCAGGGAAGAAACGAUAUCCUCUAAUACAGGGUGUUAAUGACGGUACCUGAAGAAUAAGCACCGGCUAACUACGUGCCAGCAGCCGCGGUAAUACGUAGGGUGCAAGCGUUAAUCGGAAUUACUGGGCGUAAAGCGUGCGCAGGCGGUUUUGUAAGACUGUCGUGAAAUCCCCGGGCUCAACCUGGGAAUGGCGAUGGUGACUGCAAGGCUAGAGUUUGGCAGAGGGGGGUAGAAUUCCACGUGUAGCAGUGAAAUGCGUAGAUAUGUGGGGGAACACCGAUGGCGAAGGCAGCCCCCUGGGUCAAAACUGACGCUCAUGCACGAAAGCGUGGG